UGGGGCGUCGCCAAGUGGUAAGGCAGCAGGUUUUGAUCCUGCCAAUCGGUGGUUCGAAUCCAUCCGCCCCAACCA
rnacentral:tRNA from 1 species